GAACACGGACACCUGGAUGCGUAGGUGGAUGCUACUGCACAAUGCCAUAGGCUUUACUACUAGGUCGGGCCUGGUCGACGGACAUCUACGGAACACUGAGCCGCCCUCGCAGAGUCUAAAACUGGACCACCUCGAGCAGAUACAGUCAAAUCUGCCGUUAGCGACCUCUGCUGUAGGCGACCAUCUACCGUUAGCGACCGAUUUUCCGUGCACCGACGGUUUCACAUACAAACUGAUCUGUCCAGAGCGACCAUCUGCUGUGCGCGACCAGCGACCGCGAUUUCAUGCACGGUGGCUGCAUUCAAAUCUGCUGUAAGCGACCGCGAUCCAGGUUCAGUAAGGUGCGAAAAUGUACUUGCCAGUGCGCUGUCAACUGCAAAGUGUGAAAAUGCGCUGUCUUGCAAGCGCGAUCGACUGGCGCCUGGCUUGUACUCAGGCUCUGCUGUAGCUCUCAAGUCCAGGCAGUGUCGAUCUACUGCCGUGUCGCAUACGCGUACUAUACGGGUAUGGUCGUCGUUGAAUAUCCAAUAAAAUGAUAAUUAUUAAAAAUCACAUUAUUCUCGUCGAUUUGAGUACAUGGAAGCAUAUACCUGGUAUGCCGGAUUUACCAUACAUCUGUCGUAAGAGACCAUCUGCCGUAAGCGACCGCUUUUUCUUGCACCAAGGGGCGGUCGCUUACAACAGAUUUGACUGUAAAAGUUUUAAAAGCCUUGAAAAGGCCAGCAAGAUUCCGGCCUUGCAAUCACUCCUACGCGCUAUCAAUGAUUACGCGAAGAGCCAUCUAGGGAAUUUCCCCUUACCUGUCGCAGCCAGCUUGCCGUACAGGUAGGCGAACAUGGCCCCCGCUGCAUUGUAAUAGACGAGCGGAAACAUGGGAGCACCAACAACAUUGUCAUCCGGUAGAAUGAUGCCGGUCUCGUCGAUAUCAAUCAGCGUGUGUGGUGACAUGGCAUCGCGCAGGCUAGUGACAUUGGACACCUGAGACCCAAGCGGCAGAACAUGGGACAACGCAGCUGGGAUGGUAGUGUCUUCUCAAGUUAUCACAAGAAUCGCUCUAGGUAAUGUAUA